AAAAGGUGGCUAUGCUACCGCUUUUGGAUGGGCCCGCGGCGCAUUAGCUAGUUGGUGGGGUAAAGGCUUACCAAGGCAAUGAUGCGUAGCCGAACUGAGAGGUUGAUCGGCCACAUUGGGACUGAGACACGGCCCAAACUCCUACGGGAGGCAGCAGUAGGGAAUCUUCCACAAUGGGCGAAAGCCUGAUGGAGCAACGCCGCGUGGGUGAAGAAGGUCUUCGGAUCGUAAAACCCUGUUGUUAGAGAAGAAAGUGCGUGAGAGUAACUGUUCACGUUUCGACGGUAUCUAACCAGAGAGCCACGGCUAACUACGUGCCAGCAGCCGCGGUAAUACGUAGGUGGCAAGCGUUAUCCGGAUUUAUUGGGCGUAAAGGGAACGCAGGCGGUCUUUUAAGUCUGAUGUGAAAGCCUUCGGCUUAACCGGAGUAGUGCAUUGGAAACUGGGAGACUUGAGUGCAGAAGAGGAGAGUGGAACUCCAUGUGUAGCGGUGAAAUGCGUAGAUAUAUGGAAGAACACCAGUGGCGAAAGCGGCUCUCUGGUCUGUAACUGACGCUGAGGUUCGAAAGCGUGGGUAGCAAACAGGAUUAGAUACCCUGGUAGUCCACGCCGUAAACGAUGAAUGCUAAGUGUUGGAGGGUUUCCGCCCUUCA
rnacentral:rRNA from 1 species